CAACGAAUAUUCCGCAAUGGGCGAAAGCCUGACGGAGCAAUGCCGCGUGCGGGAUGAAGCAUCUCGGUGUGUAAACCGCUGUCAGGGGCGACCAACCCAAUGAGGAGCCCCAGAGGAAGAGCCGGCUAACUCUGUGCCAGCAGCCGCGGUAAUACAGAGGGCUCGAGCGUUGCGCGGAUUCACUAGGCUUAAAGCGUGCGUAGGCGGAGGCGCAAGUGCGUUGUGAAAUCCCACGGCUCAACCGUGGAACCGCGAUGCAGACUGCGUCUCUUGAGGCCGGUAGGGGCUGUCGGAACGGUAGGUGGAGCGGUGAAAUGCGUAGAUAUCUACCGGAACGCCCGAGGCGAAGGCGGACAGCUGGGCCGGUUCUGACGCUGAGGCACGAAAGCGUGGGGAGCGAACGGGAUUAGAUACCCCUGUAGUCC
rnacentral:rRNA from 1 species